CAUUAGAAAUAGUGUGUUUGACAUUUCAUUUCAGGCAAGCCAGAAAGGUUUUUUAAAUCAUGCUGUCUGCCUUUUCUCUUUGGCACAUCCUUUCCCUUUGAUUUCCUUUUCAUUCUCCUGAGUUUUUCAUUAUCUUUCCAGUACAAAACAUUAGACCACCGUGCUACAUAAUGGAAAUGAAACAUUUAAGGGAUACUGAGUGCUGUGGCCUCACUGCAGAUCAGAAUGUGACUGUGAUACAUACAGACGCAUACCCCAGCUUUUGAACUGGCACAUCUAAUGGUUUGUACUCUCUGUGUGAUGGUUUGGCCCUGACAGCAGACCAGCACCUACCCAGCUGCUCUUCCACCCCCAGCAAAACAGAAGAAAAAAAAUAAGAAGAAUAAGGGAAAAACACUCAAAGAUGAAAAACAGAAGCAGCUGAAUAUAGGAAGGUAUGUGAUGUAAGGUGCAGUGCAUGGGCUGGAAGGGAAGUGAAGAAGGAAAAGCAUGCAAGCAGUAAUGAAAUGUUCUGAGUUCAAAGUUUUUGGCAACACAGAUGUUCCUGAGAUCUGUCAAGGGUCUUUGAUUUUGUAUAAUAGUCCCAAAAAUCAUGGAAAGGGGAUUAUGGUCCUGGAGGGACAGGAGUGAAUGACAGAAGAGAUGCUCUAAAAAUGAACUCAGAAGUUCUGAUUGUGCUUGGCGCAAUAAGAAGGGGUGAGGAACUGAGACCAGACUUCGGUGAAGAAAAACAUGUUAUAAAUUCACUAGAUUUGAAUUUGAAGGUUGAAGGUUGUCUUACCUGCAAUAGUGUUUAAAAACUAUGGAAAUAAUUGUGUUGUCUAAAUAUAUGUUCUAUCUAUAUGGACUAUAUGACCUCCAGGGGUGCAUUAAACCUUA